UACGGGGGGAGCAAGCGUUGUUCGGAUUUACUGGGCGUAAAGGGCGCGUAGGCGGCCAGUGCAAGUCAGUUGUGAAAUCUCCGAGCUUAACUCGGAAAGGUCAACUGAUACUGCUCGGCUAGAGUGCGGAAGGGGCAACUGGAAUUCUUGGUGUAGCGGUGAAAUGCGUAGAUAUCAAGAGGAACGCCUGCGGCGAAGGCGGGUUGCUGGGCCGACACUGACGCUGAGGCGCGAAAGCUAGGGGAGCGAACGGG
rnacentral:rRNA from 1 species